rnacentral:rRNA from 1 species
UACAGAGGUCUCAAGCGUUGUUCGGAUUCAUUGGGCGUAAAGGGUGCGUAGGCGGCGCGGUAAGUCGGGUGUGAAAUCUCGGAGCUUAACUCCGAAACUGCAUUUGAUACUGGCGUGCUUGAGGACUGGAGAGGAGACUGGAAUUCAUGGUGUAGCAGUGAAAUGCGUAGAGAUCAUGAGGAAGACCAGUGGCGAAGGCGGGUCUCUGGACAGUUCCUGACACUGAGGCACGAAGGCCAGGGAGCAAACGGG